UGCCAUAGUCUGUAGGAUUGACACAGAUCUCUUAUCUAACUAUUUACUUUAACAAUUCUACUUGCGUAAAGUAAUGAAUAGACUUUAUCUUAUUCCAAUGUACAUUUCUGAUUUCGAAAAUGUAAAAGCUUAAAGAGGAAGAUCACUACAAACCUUUUCAAUGUCAGAAACGACUAACACCGUGAGUUAUUAUCAUAGCUCGGACUGUUUGAGUAUUGUUGUUAUUUUCGGGAGUGUGACUUUAGGCCUUCUGAUCAUAAUAAUAAUCUGUAUAUGCUGGAUAUGUUGUAGAAGAAAAACUCAACGAGACGGAAUAGUAAUUCAAUCUACGUCACAAAUGCAACCUGGGUCAAUUAUGAUGUCACAAGGUCAAAACUUACAUCACAGCCAGUGUCAAGGUCAUUGUCAACAUACCAUAGCGGCGCCAUCUACAGUUCAGCACGGUGUUAGUGAUUGCAGAUAUUAAGCAUCACAAAACAUGUGUAACAUUUUUGAGAAAAACAAUCUAAUAAGUUUUAUGUAAAUUGCAGAAAAUAUGCUGAAAUCAAUAAUCUGAAUGCAUAUUUUACAUGUAAUCAUUUACAAGAAU